rnacentral:rRNA from 1 species
UACGGAGGAUCCGAGCGUUAUCCGGAUUUAUUGGGUUUAAAGGGUGCGUAGGCGGUUUGAUAAGUUAGAGGUGAAAUGUCGGGGCUCAACCCCGAAACUGCCUCUAAUACUGUUGGACUAGAGAAUAGUUGCGGUAGGCGGAAUGUAUGGUGUAGCGGUGAAAUGCUUAGAGAUCAUACAGAACACCGAUUGCGAAGGCAGCGCACCGGCGCCCUACUGACGCUCAGGCACGAAAGCGUGGGUAUCGAACAGG